rnacentral:lncRNA from 1 species
GCUGUUUAACAAAACUCAAACAAACAAAGUCCCAACAGACAUGCUAAUAAAGAAGUAGAAAAAUCUCAGGAUGUUCCACUCUUGCAUGAACAACGACAGACAGCUUCAUCUCUCAUCAGUUUGGACUUUGAAGGCAUCCCUUACAUUCUGAUUGUGCCAUCCUCACCAUCUCAGCUCCUUGUUGAAUCUGAGUAAAUAAAUGCCUGAAACACCUUCAAAGAUGUGACAGAGCUCAGAGAAGAAAGAGGUGAAGUGAGAAACAACCCAGAUGUCCCUCGACAGAGGAAUGGAUACAGAAAAUAUGGUACAUUUACACAAUGGAAUACGACUCAACUAUUAUAACCAGUGACUUCGUGAAAUCCUUAGGCAAAUGGAUGGAACUAGAAAAUAUCAUCCUGAGUGAGGUAAGCCAGUCACAAGAUAACACACAUGAUAUGCAUUCACUGAUAACUGGAUAUUUGCCCAACAGCUUGGAAUACCCAAUAUACAGUUUACAGACCAAAUGAAGCUCAAGAAGAAGGAAGAUCAAAGU